rnacentral:misc_RNA from 1 species
UCCGGCUUAACGCCGGCAGUCUCCUUAGAGUGCCACGGCAUGAUCCGCUGGCAACUAAGGACAGGGGUUGCGCUCGUUGCGCCACUUAAGGCAACACCUCACGGCACGAGCUGACGACAGCCAUGCAGCACCUGUGUUCCGGUUCCCUUUCAGGCACAGCCACCUUUCAGCAGCCUUCCAGACAUGUCAAGGGUAGGUAAGGUUGUUCGCGUUGCAUCGAAUUAAUCCACAUCAUCCACCGCUUGUGCGGGUCCCCGUCAAUUCCUUUGAGUUUUAACCUUGCGACCGUACUCCCCAGGCGGGAUGCUUAAUGCGUUAGCUGCGCCACUGAAGAGCAAGCUCCCCAACGGCUAGCAUCCAUCGUUUACAGCGUGGACUAC